UCAGAGGUCACGGGCUGGCCCCUCACGGCCUGGGGAUGCCCCGGCACCGCCCUGCCCUCGGAAUGCACCGCGCUGCACUUUGGAACCGUACAGUCAUAUCGGACACGGUGCCAGGCUGUGCCAGGGGAGGGUCAGGCUGCACGUUAGCAGGAAUGUCCUCACAGAAAGGGUGAUCAGACUUUGGGCUGCCCAGGGAGGCGGUGGAGUCACCUCCCUGGUCGAGAAGUUGGUGUUCAGUCACAAGCUGAACUUGAUAAUCUCAGAGGUCCUUUCCAACCGAACUGACUCUGUGGUUCCGUGAAUCACCAAGAUUGGAAGAGACCUUUAGGAUCAUCCAGCCUUAGUGCUCACCCAGCGCUGCCACUGUAACCCUUAAAGCACAGCAACAAAUGCCAGAUGUAGGCACCUAAACAUCUCCAGGGAUGGUGACUCCACACCUCCCUGGGCUGCCUGACCUCCCAACCAGUGAAUAAAUUCUUUUCAAAUACCUAAUUUGAAUCUCCCCUGUCUCAGUUUAUGACUUUACACUGUCCACUGUAUCCCUGUCCCCUGUGGCUCCCAUAUUCCUGCUGGGGUGUACUGGGUUUGUGGAACAGCAGGCUUGCACAAGUCUGAUAUAAAUCAUCCAUGUGUGACUACAAGUGACACAAUUGUGGCUUGGUGCACAGCAGGGAACAAAUCUGAUUUCCUGGGCAGCUGCUCCAUGUCCUGAGGAGGCUGUGGCUCCUGGAAAGCUGCUGAUAUUUUCAGGGACCACAGCCCCAGGCCAGCCCUGCUGCAGUUUUAGCUCUGAAACCUCUGCAGGAAACAACACAAAUUUGGUUGUGCAAUUUUGAGGUCACAGACCUGAGCGUGGCCUGUUCUUAAAGCCCUGUGGCAAAAAACUCAUCAUGAGCCCACAGAGUGCACUCUCAAGUGUGUCCGGACCUUUGUUAAAUGAAGUUAAACAUCUCCAUCGUGCUCCAGCUCAGGCUUACAAAGGCAAAAUUCCUCUGGAAUUAAGGAUUUGCCUCCUUUAGACAUUAAAGCAGCAAAACACACAGAUGAUGAUGUCAGUGAGGUUAGAAUUGAGCAGCAAUUGUUCUUAAAAGCGCAGGGAAUUGUGAUUCUCAGUGUUAGAAAUAAGAAUUGAGGAGAGGAUCAAGCCCUCUUUGGCAGUGACGAGACAAAAGAGAACUCUGCCUAAUUACACAUUUUAGAACAAUGUGUUAGAGAUUCCCAAGGAAGGGAACAAAAUAUAAAAGAACACCAUGAGCAGUAUAGUGCUAGGGAACUGAGGAGCAUAAGAUAAACUAUUAUACCCUUAAGGGAGGGAAAACAUGACUCAGAGGCAUUAAAAUAUAUUAAAAAAAAAUUUUUAAAAAACGCUUUUAUCUCAUUAGCAAUGAAUUAAGCUUUAGAAAAUCCUUUCCCACCUAAAGAACUUAAUUUUCAGCAUAAUAAAAAGCCUUCAGAGUUGGCUGGUCAGUCCUUCUCCUUCAGCUCCCCAGGAAAGGAAGGGGCUGCCAGAGAGGCUCUGUCUGUGCCAGAUUGCCAGGAUAUUGUCUUUGGAGACAGAGGGGUAGGGAAAACUUACUAUCUGCUUCAGCUGCUGCCUGGAAAAUGAAAAUACAGCUCUGGCUGUGAGGACCUGAGGCUUUGAGACCCUUCUGCACAGUGCUGGAUGUGUCAUGUCACCCUCGUCCCAAAUUCCAGCCCCUCUUCCCCAGAUCUGCCUUGCCACCAUGGACCUUUACUCUUGAAAACGUUUAUUACAGAAAACUGGAUGUUAUUAUUGGAAAAUUGGAGGUUGAAAGAGCCUAAUUGCACUUCAGUAAUUGUAAAUUUUGUCUCUGAGCAAAAAGAGAAGCUAAUAAAAGAUGGGAAAUCAAUUUGA